rnacentral:rRNA from 1 species
AGAGUUUGAUCAUGGCUCAGAAUGAACGUUGGCGGCGUGGAUUAGGCAUGCAAGUCGAGCGAGAAGUUUCCCUUCGGGGAGACGGACAGCGGCGAAAGGGAGAGUAACAUGUGGGUCACCUACCCCUGAGUACGGGAUAGCUGCGGGAAACUGCAGGUAAUACCGUAUAACAUCUCAGGAUCAAAGCUCCGGCGCUUGGGGACGGGCCCGCAUACUAUUAGCUUGUUGGUGGGGUAAUGGCUUACCAAGGCAAAGAUGGUUACCGGGUGUGAGAGCAUGACCCGGCUCACUGGGACUGAGACACUGCCCAGACACCUCCGGGUGGCUGCAGUCGAGAAUCUUCGGCAAUGGACGAAAGUCUGACCGAGCGACGCCGCGUGCGGGAUGAAGGCCUUCGGGUUGUAAACCGCUGUCAGAGGGAAGGAAAUAGUAAUUUGACCGAUCCUCAAAGGAAGUACGGGCUAAGUUCGUGCCAGCAGCCGCGGUAAGACGAACCGUACGAACGUUAUUCGGAAUCACUGGGCUUAAAGGGUGCGUAGGCGGUCCGCUAAGUUGGGUGUGAAAUCCCUCGGCUCAACCGAGGAAUUGCGCUCAAUACUGGCGGACUUGAGGGAGAUAGAGGUGAGCGGAACUGAUGGUGGAGCGGUGAAAUGCGUUGAUAUCAUCGGGAACACCUGUGGCGAAAGCGGCUCACUGGAUCUCUUCUGACGCUGAGGCACGAAAGCUAGGGGAGCGAACGGGAUUAGAUACCCCGGUAGUCCUAGCUGUAAACGAUGAGUACUAGAUCGAAGGAAUUUCCACAUUUUUUCGGUCGUAGCGAAAGUGUUAAGUACUCCGCCUGGGGAGUAUGGUCGCAAGGCUGAAACUCAAAUGAAUUGACGG